UCGCCAAUGACCGUCGUGCCGAGGUACAGCAGCGGGACCUCGAAGCGCCUCCCGUCGGCCGUGUACAUGACGCAGUGGCCCUUGGCCGGUGCAGAGGUGCAGCAUCCUUGGUCUUCCUUGGCCGUCACGGUGAGCCUCUUCCUCCCGAGCGCUUCCACCCUCUUUGCCAGCUGAGCAAGUCCCUGGCACCGGCCAUUGUUGGCUGGUUCUGGGUAAUUGGUUUUCAGCUGGAGAUUUAGAGCAAGUGUGUUAUGGAUGUUGUGAUGCUCAGCUGAUGGUGGGUAUGUGUGCCGAUCAGGUGAUGCUGUUGAGCUGGGCCGUUGGCUGGAUUUAUAGGCGAGACGACGGGAAGGGCAUCAUCGUGCCGGCGCAGGACAGGGCCAUGUGAUGGGCGCAUGCAAGUGUUGCGGUAUGAUUACUUUGGAUCAGAUCGCGGCGGGGCCAAAUGUCUGUUGUAUCUGUAUCAUUUGCUUCCAUAUCGUUGGCGUUGAAAAGCGAGCACAUGAUCUGUUUGAUAUUCGGCAUCUCACGUGGUGACAUGAGUACAUAUCUUGAAUAGAACCAAACCAAACCUAUCUUGUUGACAUGAGUACAUAUGUAAGCCUAUGUGGUUCAGUAGAGGCAGCUGCUCAUCUGAUAAUGAUCACCAGCUAUGUGUAACCUGUUGACAAUAAGACGGCACUGCUCAAACAGACCAUCAACUAAAGGCUGGGGCUUUAAGUUGCUUGCAGAGACUAGAUAGCUCUACUCAU
rnacentral:lncRNA from 1 species